rnacentral:rRNA from 1 species
GACGAACGCUGGCGGCGUGCCUAAUACAUGCAAGUAGAACGCUGAAGAGCUGCGCUUGCUCUUCUUGGAUGAGUUGCGAACGUGUGAGUAACGCGUAUGUAACCUGCCUUGUAGCGGGGGAAAACUAUUGAAAACGAGAGCUAAUCGCGCAUAACAAUGGGUUGCACAUUUGAGUUAUGUGAAAUGGGGAAUUGCGCCACUACAAGAUGGAUCUGCGUUGUAUUAGCUAGGAGGUGAGGUAAUGGCUCAUCUAGGCGAGGAUGCAUAGCCGACCUGAGAGGGUAAGCGGCCAGCCUGGGACUGUGACCCGCCACAGACUCAUACGGGAGCCGGCAGUAGGGCAUCGUGAGCAAUGGGGGGAAAACUGAGCGAGAAACGCCGCGUGAGUGAAGAAGGUUUUCGGGUCGUAAAGGUCUGUUGUAAGUUAAGAACGGGCGUGAGAGUGGAAAGUUCACACUGUGACGGUAGCUUACAAGAAAGCGACGGCUAACUACGUG